CAAAGGCCGAUCUCCCGGGGCCUGCCCAGCAAGAGGCAGGGCGGGGUGGUCCCCACGCCCAGGGCCCCUCGAGAGCUGGUUCUGUGGGGAUGAAAGGAAACUCGAGGCCGGUGGCCCAGCUCUAACGUGCAGCUCUAGCGUGCGGGGGAGCUGUGAAGUGCCCGGGGGGGCCCCCGGAGAAAGGACUCCUGCCAGCCGCCUCUUCUCCACCUGGGGUGGAGCGUCUGUGGCGUGGCCUUGGUCCGCCGAGACUGUGGACGGUCUGGCUAUGCUGUCCCCUGCUGAACCUCUUCCUGGGAGGGGCCUCAGGGGUUCUUGCUCACUCCCAGGACCUGUUCACGCGUGUCCACAAUUUGGUCCCCCUUGUGCCUGAAAACCUUCCAGGAGGACGCUCGCCUUCCACUGUCCACAGCCCCCAGGUGGGAAGGCCUUUUGGGGGCGGUCAGGCCACCUGCAGGAACAGAGUUCGAACCUUGUUCUAGAACGCGUCAUGGAAGUCAGCCUCCCUCCCCACCCUGGUUUCAGAUGUAGAAACUGAAACCCAGCUUGGGGACCGCCUUCCUGAGGACACAACGCUGGAAGAGUGUGUGAUGUCACGCCAGCCUCAGGGGAGGGUGCCGGCAGUCUUGCCCGGGCCACCAGCAACAGUGGCUCUCGAGGAAGGACCCGGAAGUUGGCCCGCAAAGCUGGCCCCAACCCACUCUGAUCUGUGGUCCCCUCCAUGGUUGCAGGAAGAGUGGUCUCUUUUGUCUUGGCUUACGAUCGUCCAGUCGGGGUGAGAUACGUGUAAUUUGCGAUAUUUAUGCUUAUUUUGCUAUUUCAGUUUUGAUCAAUGAAAGGACAUCUUUGCCUAAGAACACAGUUUUUAUUACUAAGACAAUCACAGCUGGACGUGGUGCCACACGCCUGUAACCCCAGCUACCUGGGAGGCUGAGGAAGGAGAAUCACUUGAACCCAGGAGACGGAGGUUGCAGUGAGCCAAGAUCACGCCAUUGCACUGCAGCCUGGGUGACAGAACAAGACUACGUCUCAAAAAAAGAAAAAAGAAAGAAAAAAAAGAAAAUAGUUCUGCUGUGAAAAUGACUGUUUGCAUUACCAAGAAGAGAUUUCAAAGUUAUCUUAAAAUGUUCCUGUUCCCAAGAAGCAGUAUAUAGUAAUAAAGACAUAUAUUCACCAAGAAUAACAUGUCCAGAAAGACAAGUUCUUAAAAACAGAAUGAGUGACAGUGGGCACACCAUGAGACUUAGUCACCUCCAAGAAGGACCUGGGUAGGAAAGGAGGGGCUGGGAGGGAAACUGCACCCCUUCAUUCCCACCCCACCCCAGCAAUUCCAGGCACAAACAGUUGAGCUCUGAGACAGAUGAAAGCUUUUCAGUUCUCAGAAGUCCAAAGGGCUGACCCACUUUGCCGGUUUGCAUGGUUUGCCUGGAGUGGCAUUAAGGCCGGCUUCUUUACAGUGUGUCUGAAAUACAAU
rnacentral:lncRNA from 10 species